GAUUUGUUCAUUACUUGGGAAAAUGAUGCUAAUCACCUCGUCGACGACAUCGAGUGGAUACAAAUUCAUGGCACGUGCUGGGCGUAUUCUCUUAGGCGGCACAUGAAUGCGGCAUGUAGAAUUGCGAACUUAAUUGAUGCAGAAUCCCUCUCUCUGGCCUACUUGGUCAACUACAUGAGAAUGACUUCAGGGCUUUCAGACACCUUGGGUCUUUCUUCCUUUGAUCCGGUUAGGCCCUUCCUGAUGUUGGAGGGUAUGGUCCUGGAUGAUGAUUAUCGAAUGUUGUUUGCUCAAUUUAUGAGGAUCCCGGAACUCCCACUUCCGAGGGGAAUUCGUCGUUUCGUAGUUACGGACAUGAUAAUUCAUUCUCUAGAUCACUAUCAGAGUAAUCAAGACUUUGAACAAGCAUUCGUCAGUGCAAUGAAUCAUUCCCCUAUUACAGCGGCAAUCCCAAACUACCCAUCGAUACUUUCGUUCAUAGCAAACCCCCCUCAAAAUGUAAGUUAAGAUCUAUAUAUAUUAUUUGGUUUCGAGACAGUUCUGGGUUAAUCAACGGUGGCUUCAUGAAUGUUGAGAUGGGUAAAGGAAUCAUUGUCAAGUUUGUCGAGCUGAUUGGAGCAUGUCAUUAUGUGAUCGGUGCCGAAAUGAUCUAGGGCCUGCUAUGGCGAUGCCUCUAUCUCUACCCCCUAUUUAUAUAACAGAUUUCUGUUACUUUACUUCGAUCCAUCUUUUGCUGUUUCAUAACUUAUCAACAUCUAUCGGUACGCGUUUAAUUGUUUCGGUAAUUGGAUAUUUGUAGUGAUGACCUUUUGUGCUGAAAA